GAGUGGCGCACGGGUGAGUAACGCGUACGCGACCUGCCCUCAAGAGGGAAAUAGCCCUGGGAAACCGGGAUUAAUGUCCCAUGUGAUUGUAUUUCUAAGGGAUAUAAUUAAAGGAGCGAUCCGCUUGAGGAUGGGCGUGCGUGCUAUUAGCUAGUUGGUGAGGUAAUGGCUCACCAAGGCGACGAUAGCUAGGGGGCGUGAGAGCGUGACCCCCCACACGGGUACUGAGACACGGACCCGACUCCUACGGGAGGCAGCAGUAAGGAAUAUUGGACAAUGGGGGCAACCCUGAUCCAGCCAUCCCGCGUGCAGGAAGACGGCCCUAUGGGUUGUAAACUGCUUUUAUUAGGGAAGAAUAGCAUCAAUGAAUUGGUGUAUGACGGUACCUAAAGAAUAAGCACCGGCUAACUCCGUGCCAGCAGCCGCGGUAAUACGGAGGGUGCAAGCGUUAUCCGGAAUCACUGGGUUUAAAGGGUGCGUAGGUGGAAUAAUAAGUCAGGCGUGAAAGGUUACAGCUUAACUGUAGACUUGCGUUUGAUACUGUUAUUCUUGAAUUAAGAUGAGGUUGGCAGAAUGCGACAUGUAGCGGUGAAAUGCAUAGAUAUGUCGUAGAAUACCGAUUGCGAAGGCAGCCAACCGGACUUAAAUUGACACUGAGGCACGAAAGCGUGGGGAGCGAACAG
rnacentral:rRNA from 1 species